rnacentral:rRNA from 1 species
GAUGAACGCUAGCGGAAGGCAUAAUACAUGCAAGUCGAACGGAUGUAGCAAUACAUUAGUGGCGCACGGGUGCGUAACGCGUAUGCAACCUACCUUCAUCAGGGGGAUAACUACCCGAAAGGGUGGCUAACACCGCAUAAUACUAUUGAGUGGCAUCACUUGGUAUUUAAAUCUGAGGAGGAUGAAGAUGGGCAUGCGUCUGAUUAGCUAGUUGGUGUGGUAACGGCGCACCAAGGCGACGAUCAGUAGGGGAACUGAGAGGUUGGUCCCCCACACUGGCACUGAGAUACGGGCCAGACUCCUACGGGAGGCAGCAGUAGGGAAUAUUGGUCAAUGGUGGGAACACUGAACCAGCCAUUCCGCGUGCAGGAAGAAGGGUCUCUGACUUGUAAACCGCUUUAGCAAGGGAAGAAAAAGCUCAUGCGUGAGAAAUUGACGGUACCUUGAGAAUGAGCACCGGCUAACUACGUGCCAGCCGCCGCAGUAAGAC